rnacentral:rRNA from 1 species
AUUGAACGCUGGCGGCAGGCCUAACACAUGCAAGUCGAGCGGGGUUUUCGGACCUAGCGGCGGACGGGUGAGUAAUGCGUAGGAAGCUGCCCGAUAGAGGGGGAUACCAGUUGGAAACGACUGUUAAUACCGCAUAAUGUCUACGGACCAAAGUGUGGGACCUUCGGGCCACAUGCUAUCGGAUGCGCCUACGUGGGAUUAGCUAGUUGGUGAGGUAAUGGCUCACCAAGGCGACGAUCUCUAGCUGGUUUGAGAGGAUGAUCAGCCACACUGGAACUGAGACACGGUCCAGACUCCUACGGGAGGCAGCGGUGGGGAAUAUUGGACAAUGGGCGCAAGCCUGAUCCAGCCAUGCCGCGUGUGUGAAGAAGGCCUUCGGGUUGUAAAGCACUUUCAGCGAGGAGGAAGGGUGGUGUGUUAAUAGCACAUCAUUUUGACGUUAUUCGCAGAAGAAGCACCGGCUAACUCUGUGCCAGCAGCCGCGGUAACAC